rnacentral:rRNA from 1 species
UACGUAGGGCGCAAGCGUUGUCCGGAAUUAUUGGGCGUAAAGAGCUCGUAGGCGGUUUGUCGCGUCUGCUGUGAAAGCCCGGGGCUCAACCCCGGGUCUGCAGUGGGUACGGGCAGACUAGAGUGCAGUAGGGGAGACUGGAAUUCCUGGUGUAGCGGUGAAAUGCGUAGAUAUCGAGGGGAACACCAGUGGCGAAGGCGAGUCUCUGGACGACUCCUGACACUGAGGCACGAAAGCUGGGGGAGCAAACAGG